AGUGUGUGUAGUGUGUGUAUAUAAUGCAGUGUGUUUUGUGUAGUGUGUUUCUAUAAUGCACACUGCAUUAUAUACACACACUACAUUCAC